rnacentral:rRNA from 1 species
CCUACGGGGGGCAGCAGUGGGGAAUAUUGGACAAUGGGCGAAAGCCUGAUCCAGCCAUGCCGCGUGUGUGAAGAAGGCCUUCGGGUUGUAAAGCACUUUCAGUGGGGAAGAAAGCCUUGGGGCUAAUACCCUCGAGGAAGGACAUCACCCACAGAAGAAGCACCGGCUAACUCCGUGCCAGCAGCCGCGGUAAUACGGAGGGUGCGAGCGUUAAUCGGAAUUACUGGGCGUAAAGCGCGCGUAGGCGGUCUGAUAAGCCGGUUGUGAAAGCCCCGGGCUCAACCUGGGAACGGCAUCCGGAACUGUCAGGCUAGAGCGCAGGAGAGGAAGGUAGAAUUCCCGGUGUAGCGGUGAAAUGCGUAGAGAUCGGGAGGAAUACCAGUGGCGAAGGCGGCCUUCUGGACUGACACUGACGCUGAGGUGCGAAAGCGUGGGUAGCAAACAGGAUUAGAUACCCUAGUAGUC